rnacentral:lncRNA from 1 species
GCUGCCGAAGCUACGUUCGCGGGAAGUCUAACCGCUUGAAGCACGUUGCAGAGUCGAGACCAGUUGAGCGGCCGGAAUUUUACGAACGAUUAUGCAAGCGUACGUCUUGAGGACGACCAUGAGCCACAUAUCAUCUCAAAUUUCUCCCCGUCAAGCCUUGUGACGAAACGGAAUCGGACUUCUUCAAGGCGAGGAUCCUAAAGUUGUUUGGAUCGCAGAGUGACGCGGAAACCCAGUGACAGUAAGCGGGUGCUAGUACCUCCGACGAGAUGAGUGACUGCCCGGGAGGGCUGGAGGAAGCUUUUAUGAGACAGAUGGCCUCCUUGGCGGAUUGUGACCGGCAGACCUUCAAACCGCACAAAGGCUAAGCAAAGCCACAACUGGAUGCAGCAAGACUAAAAGCUUUAUAAUAUACUGUAAGGACUAUGGCUUUAUAAUAAGCCUUUUAUAGCAAAACAUACUGAUCUGAAAAGCGUUGUUUGUGGUUAUUUUAAAGUGGUAUACGGAAACUUCGUCGUAUUGUAUUAAUUCUGGUUCACUGCACAGUUAAAAGGUUUGUCUUCGUUUGCUGCCAGAGAAAUAUAGCUUGCGAUGAACUAAAUCAAAGUUAUGACUGCUGGUGUGGUGUACAUAUUCAGAACUUUUUUUUAUUAAAAUAAUUGUAAUCAAGUGUUUUUAUGGGUUUUAGCACUGUGAUUAAGAUACGUCAAUGUGUUUUCUAAGAAAGACUACUAAUUUGCAGUUUGUAUCUUCUCCUAAAAUAUUUUGUAGAUCUGAGCAUGUAUUCAUACCUGAAUAUGUGCCAGGCAUUCCCCAGUAUGUGUAUAAUUGUUUACUAGGCCUGUAAGCUUCCCCACUACAUCAUUGCCGCUAUGUUAGCGCUUCCCAGCUAUUAUUCGAGAGAGAUAAGUGUUUCUCAUGAUCAAUUAGGUUGAGAUUGUUUAGCGUUAAUGUUUUUGAGUCCCCCAUUUUUAAUUCCUGACAGAGCGCUUCAAUGUCCGUUUAUUUUUGGUUUGCCGCUAUUUAUCACCACAAGCAAAAACAUCACGCCACUGGGAUUAACCUGAAGCUCACCUCAUGAUUAACGACGCUGCCGUCCACUGUCUUAAGGUGGGCCUACGUUCAUGGGUACUUGUCUAGUGGUUCUGGAGUUGAUGUUGCUGAGAUAACCGAGACGCCGAUUUCUACGAUGGCCUCUGUCAGCAUCAUGGUCAAUUACAGCUGGCCCGAGCCCGAACCAGGCCAAUCAAUGUGCUGGCCCGAACCAGGCCAAUCAACGUGCUGGCCCAAGCCCGGCCCGGGCCCACAGUCAAAAGUCCGAGCCCAUCCCAGGCCUGGGCUUUCGGCUCAGCAAAGUCUGCGGAUCUGGUUAUGCUUCCUGUACGAGAC